GAGUUUGAUCCUGGCUCAGGAUGAACGCUAGCGACAGGCUUAACACAUGCAAGUCGAGGGGCAGCGGGGGAGUAGCAAUACUCCCGCCGGCGACCGGCGCACGGGUGAGUAACACGUAUGAAACCUGCCCGUAGCAGGGGGAUAAGCGGAAGAAAUUCCGUCUAAUACCGCGUAACAACCCUUGGAGGCAUCUCCCCGGGGUUUAAAGGAAGCGAUUCCGGCUACGGAUGGUCAUGCGUCGCAUUAGCUAGUUGGCGGGGUAACGGCCCACCAAGGCGACGAUGCGUAGGGGUUCUGAGAGGAAGGUCCCCCACACUGGUACUGAGACACGGACCAGACUCCUACGGGAGGCAGCAGUGAGGAGUAUUGGUCAAUGGGCGCGAGCCUGAACCAGCCAAGUCGCGUGAGGGAAGACGGUCCUAUGGAUUGUAAACCUCUUUUGUCGGGGAGCAAAAGACGCCACGUGUGGCGUUCCGAGAGUACCCGAAGAAAAAGCAUCGGCUAACUCCGUGCCAGCAGCCGCGGUAAUACGGAGGAUGCGAGCGUUAUCCGGAUUUAUUGGGUUUAAAGGGUGCGCAGGCGGAAGAUCAAGUCAGCGGUAAAAUUGAGAGGCUCAACCUCUUCGAGCCGUUGAAACUGGUUUUCUUGAGUGAGCGAGAAGUAUGCGGAAUGCGUGGUGUAGCGGUGAAAUGCAUAGAUAUCACGCAGAACUCCGAUUGCGAAGGCAGCAUACCGGCGCUCAACUGACGCUCAUGCACGAAAGUGUGGGUAUCGAACAGGAUUAGAUACCCUGGUAGUCCACACAGUAAACGAUGAAUACUAAUUGUUCGGGGAGAAUGAUCCCUGAGUGAUACAGCGAAAGCGUUAAGUAUUCCACCUGGGGAGUACGCCGGCAACGGUGAAACUCAAAGGAAUUGACGG
rnacentral:rRNA from 1 species